rnacentral:misc_RNA from 1 species
UUAUAGUCAUUCGACUGCGCGUUCAGACGUUUUAGGAUUACUUCCUUUCAAUGAAGGGUUUCCAAGGGUGCUGUCGGCAGGCUGACCCUCCCCCCGUGGACGGAGGGAAGAGCUGCCGAAGCAACAAGGGGUUUUCACAUUGGGUGUACUGUUGACCCAGGGGGUUUAAGCCCCGAGCCUCCAGCCGGCCUCGCGACCGAGUUUCAAGGUAAUGAUCCUUCCGCAGGUUCACCUACGGAAA